rnacentral:rRNA from 1 species
GACGAACGCUGGCGGCGUGCUUAACACAUGCAAGUCGUACGGUAAGGCCCUUUCGGGGGUACACGAGUGGCGAACGGGUGCGUAACACGUGAGUAACCUGCCCACAACUUUGGGAUAACGCUAGGAAACUGGUGCUAAUACUGGAUAUGUGCUCCUGCUGCAUGGUGGGGGUUGGAAAGCUCCGGCGGUUGUGGAUGGACUCGCGGCGUAUCGGCUUGUUGGUGGGGUAGUGGCCUACCAAGGCGGCGACGGGUAGCCGGCCUGAGAGGGUGACCGGCCACAUUGGGACUGAGAGACGGCCCAGACACCGACGGGAGGCAGCAGGGGGGAAGAUUGCACAAGGGGCGCAAGCCUGAUGCAGAAACGCCGCGGGCGGGAGGACGGCCUUCGGGUUGGAAAACGCUUUCAGCAGGGACGAAGCUUUUUGUGACGGUACCUGCAGAAGAAGCACCGGCUAACUACGUG